ensembl:snRNA U6 U6 spliceosomal RNA
GUGAUCACUUCAGCAGCACAUAUGCUGAAAUUGGAAUGAUACAGAGAAGAUUAGCAUGGCCCCUGCACAAGGAUGACACACAAAUUCGUGAAGUGUUCCAUAUUUUU